UGGGGAAUAUUGCACAAUGGGCGCAAGCCUGAUGCAGCCAUGCCGCGUGUGUGAAGAAGGCCUUCGGGUUGUAAAGCACUUUCAGCGAGGAGGAAGGUGGUGAGCUUAAUACGCUCAUCAAUUGACGUUACUCGCAGAAGAAGCACCGGCUAACUCCGUGCCAGCAGCCGCGGUAAUACGGAGGGUGCAAGCGUUAAUCGGAAUUACUGGGCGUAAAGCGCACGCAGGCGGUUUGUUAAGUCAGAUGUGAAAUCCCCGGGCUCAACCUGGGAAUUGCAUUUGAAACUGGCAAGCUAGAGUCUCGUAGAGGGGGGUAGAAUUCCAGGUGUAGCGGUGAAAUGCGUAGAGAUCUGGAGGAAUACCGGUGGCGAAGGCGGCCCCCUGGACGAAGACUGACGCUCAGGUGCGAAAGCGUGGGGCAGCAAACAGGAUUAGAUACCCUGGUAGUCCACGCUGUAAAACGAUGUCGAUUUGGAGGUUGUGCCCUUGAGGCGUGGCUUCCGGAGCUAACGCGUUAAAUCGACCGCCUGGGGAGUACGGCCGCAAGGUU
rnacentral:rRNA from 1 species